GACGACAAGACCCUAAAAGCUUUAUUUAGAAUAAAAAAGUUUAGAGAAGUUUUUUAAAAAUUUAGCUGGGGUAGUUUUUUUAUAAAAACUAAAAUUUUAAUUAACAAAAAUGGGUGUGGGUCCUUUAAAUAAGGAUAAAUUAAGUAAGUUACUUUAGGGAUAACAGCGUAAUAAUUUUAAGGAGUCCAAAUCUAUAAGAUUGUUUGCGACCUCGAUGUUGAAUUAGAAGAACCCCAUUAGAGUAGUUACUAUGGUGGUGGGUUUGUUCAACCUUUAUAGUUUUACAUGAUCUGAGU
rnacentral:rRNA from 1 species